GUCCCAGAGGGCAUCUGUGGAGCAAGUGGUUGUACAGGACUGAUAAAUCUGUCUGAAGCAUGGGGAAGAGUUCGAGUUCGUCCUCUGAUUCCUCAGACUAUGAGUGGAAGCAUCUUCCCAAACAUCAGAAGAAGCAGAUGAAAAAAUGGAAGAAGAAGAUGAGGAAGGGGAAGAUCCCAUAUGGUUCUCCACCACCAUUCGUCAUUCCUGGAUAUGCUGGACCGAACUUCUCAGAAGAAGACUGUGAACAGUACGAACCUGGCAACAGUAGCAGUGACAGCGAUAGUGAUAGAGAGCCGGAGGUGGCAGAGGGGGUUGAAGGGGAAGCUACAGAGGCUGGUGUGCCCUGUGAUGAGAAAGAGUCUGAUGCUGAUGAUGAGGCAGAUCCAGAGACUAUACACGAGGAGGAGGUGAAGGAAGAACAGGAGGAGGUGAAGGAAGAACACUCAGGUGGAGAGGAAGAGAAGAAAGAGGAAGAAGAAGAGAAGAAAGAGGAAGAAGAAGAGAAGAAAGAGGAGGAAGAAGAGAAGAAAGAGGAGGAAGAAGAGAAAGAGGAAGAGGAGAAGGAAGCUGAGGAUGUUGGCGUAAGUCUGGACGGCAAUGCUGAAGAGUUCACACCCACUGUUGUGGAUGCUGAUAGCUUCUCUGCUGAGAAGGAUGCUGAGACUCUCAAGCAGGCCAUGAGAGGGUCAGGUACGGAUGAACUCAGUUUGAUUGACAUUGUGGGUCACCGGUCCGGUCAUCAGAGACAGGAGACAGCUGUUACAUAUAAAACCAUGUACGGCAAGGACCUGCAAGAGGACCUGAAGUCUGAGCUGAGCGGAGACCUGAAGGAGCUGAUGCUGGGACUCUUCAAGGCUCCAGCCUUCUAUGAUGCCUGGAGUCUGAAGGAGGCCAUGGAGGGACCUGGGACUAAAGAUCACAUCCUGAUAGAAAUUCUGUGUACUCGAACAAAUGACCAGAUAGCUGCCAUUGUGAGCUCCUACAAGGAGCACUUUGGACGAGAACUUGAACAGGACAUCAUGGAGGACACAAGUGGUCAGUUUAAACGACUGAUGGUGUCAUGUUGUCAGGGUGCCCGCAAUGAGUUGUCUGCAGAGCAGCUGGAGACGGUGAGGUCCGAGGGCUGGGAGGGUGUCGUGGACUGGGACCAGGCCAAGGAGGAUGCACAAAGACUGUUUGAUGCUGGAGAGGACAAAUGGGGGACAGACGAGUCUACAUUCCGUCAGAUAUUGGCAAUCCGGAACUACUACCAGCUCCGAGCUGUGUUUGUGGAGUAUGAGAAGGUAGCAGGGUGUGAUAUCUUGGAGUCAAUAAAAAGUGAGAUGUCGGGCAAUUUGGAGAGUGGCUUGAAAGCCCUAGUCAGAGCAGCCAGGAACAGACCAGAAUAUUUUGCUGACAGACUUCACAAGGCAUUGAGUGGGCUGGGUACAAAAGAUACCACACUUAUCCGAAUUAUCGUCUCUAGAUCUGAGAUCGACCUGAAGGACAUAAAGGAGAUUUACGAGGGGAAGUACGAGAAGCCCCUGUCUGCCGUGAUAGAGUCGGACACAUCCGGGGACUACAAGCAGCUGCUGUUGGCUAUACUGGGCAAAUAAGGAACUAUAUCUCACUGGUGCUGACUGUCUUGGUGGUGGGUUUCCUCAGUCAGGCCAGGUCAGAACUUGGCCAUCCAUGAGUCCAUGCAUGUACCUGGCUUAGUCUUUGUCUGGUCCAUGUGAUCUGUGUUUUCCUGUCUUAGUCUUUGACAGGUCCAUAUAGUCUGUGUGUACCUGUCUUAGUCUUUGACUGGUCCAUAUAGGCUGUGUAUACCUGGCUUAGUCUUUGACUGAUCCAUAUAGGCUGUGUGUACCUGUCUUUGUCUUGUCUUUGACUGGUCCAUAUAGGCUGUGUGUGCCUGGCUUAGUCUUUGACUGAUACAUAUAGGCUGUGUGUACUUGUCUUUGUCUUUGACUGGUCCAUAUAGGCUGUGUAUACCUGGCUUAGUCUUUGACUGGUCCAUAUAGGCUGUGUGUACUUGUCUUUGUCUUUGACUGGUCCAUAUAGGCUGUGUAUACCUGGCUUAGUCUUUGACUGGUCCAUAUAGGCUGUGUAUACCUGGCUAAGUCUUUGACUGGUCCAUAUAGGCUGUGUAUGCCUGGCUUAGUCUUUGACUGAUACAUAUAGGCUGUGUGUACUUGUCUUUGUCUUUGACUGGUCCAUAUAGGCUGUGUAUGCCUGGCUUAGUCUUUGACUGGUCCAUAUAGGCUGUGUAUGCCUGGCUUAGUCUUUGACUGGUCCAUAUAGGCUGUGUGUACUUGUCUUUGUCUUUGACUGGUCCAUAUAGGCUGUGUGUGCCUGUCUUAGUCUUUGACUUGUCCAUAUCUCCUCUGUGUACCUGGUUUAUUCUGCAUAUAGGCUGUGUGUACUUGUCUUAGUCUUUGACGGAUCAAUAUAGGCUGUGUGUACUUGUCUUAGUCUUUGACAGGUCAAUAUAGGCUGUGUGUACUUGUCUUAGUCUUUGACGGAUCAAUAUAGGCUGUGUGUACUUGUCUUAGUCUUUGACUGGUCAAUAUAGGCUGUGUGUACUUGUCUUAGUCUUUGACAGGUCAAUAUAGGCUGUGUGUACUUGUCUUAGUCUUUGACGGAUCAAUAUAGGCUGUGUGUACUUGUCUUAGUCCUUGACUGGUCAAUAUAGGCUGUGUGUACUUGUCUUAGUCUUUGACAGGUCAAUAUAAGCUCAUCUUCCCGAGGCAAGAGAGUUAACUGACUUUAAAAGUCCAGUUUCCACCCUUGCCGAACUAGAUUGGAAUUCCUGGGCUCGAUCGUAGCGCCGCCAGUGGUUAUUAUGAGUUAUGUCCCU
rnacentral:misc_RNA from 1 species